CAUGGCUUUUUGUUAUUAAUAUAAGGUCUAACCUGCCCAAUGAUAAUUUAUUAAAUGGCCGCGGUAUUUUGACCGUGCAAAGGUAGCAUAAUCAUUAGUUUUUUAAUUGAAAGCUGGUAUGAAAGGUUGAAUGAGAAAAUAACUGUCUUUAUAAUAUUUAAUUAGAACUUUAUUUUUAAGUAAAAAAGCUUAAAUAAUAUUUAAAGACGAGAAGACCCUUUAGAGUUUUAUAAAAUUUAUAUUUUUGAUUUUUUAGAAUUAACUAUAAUGAAAUAAAAUUUUAUUUGAUUGGGGUGAUUGAAAAACUUAAAUAACUUUUUUUUUUAUUACACAUUUAUAUAUGAAUAUUUGAUCCAUAAAUUAUGAUUAUAAGAUUAAAUUACCUAAGGGAUAACAGCGUUAUUUUUUUUGAGAGUUCUUAUCGAAAAAAAAGAUUGCGACCUCGAUGUUGGAUUAAAAUUAAAUUAUGGUGUAGAGGCUAUAAC
rnacentral:rRNA from 1 species